rnacentral:rRNA from 1 species
UACGUAGGUGGCAAGCGUUGUCCGGAAUUAUUGGGCGUAAAGCGCGCGCAGGCGGUCCUUUAAGUCUGAUGUGAAAGCCCACGGCUCAACCGUGGAGGGUCAUUGGAAACUGGGGGACUUGAGUGCAGAAGAGGAGAGUGGAAUUCCACGUGUAGCGGUGAAAUGCGUAGAGAUGUGGAGGAACACCAGUGGCGAAGGCGACUCUCUGGUCUGUAACUGACGCUGAGGCGUGAAAGCGUGGGGAGCAAACAGG